rnacentral:rRNA from 1 species
UACGUAGGUGGCAAGCGUUGUCCGGAUUUACUGGGCGUAAAGAGCGCGCAGGCGGUCGUUCAAGUCGAGUGUGAAAGCCCCCGGCUCAACUGGGGAGGGUCACUCGAUACUGAUCGACUUGAAGGCAGGAGAGGGAAGCGGAAUUCCCGGUGUAGUGGUGAAAUGCGUAGAUAUCGGGAGGAACACCGGUGGCGAAGGCGGGUCUCUGGGCCGAUACUGACGCUGAGGAGCGAAAGCCAGGGGAGCAAACGGG